rnacentral:lncRNA from 1 species
CUAGUUGUUAUCAUCCUUACACCAGAGAAGGCAGCCAGGGAUUUUUCUACAAAAUAAGCGAGCCUGCACAUGAAGCCUUAGAAGGGGUGGCUGAGGAAAGACGCUUACUCACCGGGCCCCUGAGCCUCUUUGGCUGCCAGACUCAGCGAGGAGACAGCUUCUGUCUCACUUCAUUCUGCCCAGCUGAUGCUCAAGGUCCACAUCCGUAGGAACUGCCCUGCCGGUAAGCAAAGAAUAGAAACAACCCCGUAGAGACAGAUGGAAACAAGUAAACCAAAAACACAAUAUGGAUGCUGCCUUUGUUCCUGCCUUGGAGGUCAUUGGCAUGAUCUCCUCUUCUAGAAGUGCUAUUUUCAUAUGUAUUGUCCUUGGGUGUUGACUUAAAUAGAACCUCCUGGCAAAGGUCUCCUCUCCCACCCAUCACUACAGUUCGUCCCUCUGAUCUCAUCCUCUGAG